rnacentral:misc_RNA from 1 species
AAGACUACACAUGGUAAUAUACCUGCAAAAGAAUUAGAGUGAAGUUGUAGCAUCAGAAAAUCUUGUCAUUGCAAUCAUUUGUUGAAUUAUAUUAAAUCACAUGUUAGUAAAAUUUCCUCUUUUUUUUCCUUAACAUAAUGUGGGCCUAAAAAUGAUUCAAGACUUUGAGAUCCUCUGCAGAAACAGAGUUGGAUUGCACAAUUUUCAAGUCCACCUGGUUAUCAAUACAUGAUAGACACAAGUGAAUUCAUGUGUCUGAAGGUGCAUUUCAAUUGGGUGUUGAUGAAGAAAGCAUAUUGUUGCACUAAAAUAUUUGCAGAACAAAUAUAUGUGUAACAAGUCAAACAUGUUGCAACCUUCUUUAAUAAUCUAAGUUCUUGAUUAAGAGCUCAAAGAAAAUACACACCUAGUUGACUGUCUGCCUUACAUUGAAUCAAAAAAGGCUUUGCAUCUCAUAUCUUAUUAAUUUUGAAAUGGAAAGAAUUUCAGAACAUACAUUGAUGGAUAUACACAGACCAAGGUUUGAAACUUAGAAAAUCAAACAACUCCUUUGUCAAGCACCUCUAAUUUCUAAUCACUUGCCACCGAGACUUGGACACAAGGCCAUCUCAAACCAU